rnacentral:rRNA from 1 species
GACGAACGCUGGCGGCGGGCUUAACACAUGCAAGUCGAACGGAAAGGCCCUGCUUUUGUGUGGUGCUCGAGUGGCGAGGGGGUGAGUAACCCAUGAGUAUCCUGCCCUUGAGUUUGGAAUAACUUCAGGAAACUGGUGCUAAUACCGGAUAGGUGCGCCUGCAGCAUGGGGGGGGUUGGACAGUUUCGGCGGUGUGGGACGGAGUCGCGGUUUAGCAGCUGGUGGGUGGGGUGGUGGCUUAGCAAGGCGUUGACGAGUAGCCAGCCUGGGAGUGUGACCCGCCACAGUGGGACUGGGAAACGGCCCAGACUCCUACGGGAGGCAGCAGUGGGGACUAGUGCACAAUGUGCGGAAGCCUGAUGCAACAUCGUCGCGUGGUGGAGGACGGCCUUCGGGUAGUAAACCGCUUUCGCCUGUGACGAAGCGUGAGGGACGGAAAUGGGGAAAGAAGCACCGCCGAACUACUU